rnacentral:rRNA from 1 species
CCUACGGGCGGCAGCAGUGGGGAAUAUUGCACAAUGGGGGAAACCCUGAUGCAGCGACGCCGCGUGAGUGAAGAAGUAUCUCGGUACGUAAAGCUCUAUCAGCAGGGGAGAAAAUGACGUUACCUGACUAAGAAGCCCCGGCGAACUACGUGCCAGGAGCCGCGGUAAUACGUAGGGGGCAAGCGUUAUCUGGAUUUACUGGGUGUAAAGGGAGCGUAGGCGGCAGCACAAGUCUGGAGUGAAAUCCCGGGGCGUAACCCCGGAACUGCGGUGGAAACUGUGCGGCUGGAGUGCAGGAGGGGGAAGCGGAAUUCCUAGUGUAGCGGUGAAAUGCGUAGAUAUUAGGAGGAACACCGGUGGCGAAGGCGGCUUACUGGACCGUAACUGACGUUGAGGCUCGAAAGCGUGGGGAGCAAACAGGAUUAGAUACCCGAGUAGUC